rnacentral:rRNA from 1 species
UACGUAGGUGACAAGCGUUGUCCGGAAUUAUUGGGCGUAAAGGGCUCGUAGGCGGUUUGUCGCGUCUGCUGUGAAAACUCGGGGCUUAACCCCGGGCCUGCAGUGGGUACGGGCAGACUAGAGUGCGGUAGGGGAGACUGGAAUUCCUGGUGUAGCGGUGAAAUGCGCAGAUAUCAGGAGGAACACCGGUGGCGAAGGCGGGUCUCUGGGCCGUAACUGACGCUGAGGAGCGAAAGCGUGGGGAGCGAACAGG